GAUGAAGAACGUAGCGAAAUGCGAUAAGUAAUGUGAAUUACAGAAUUCAGUGAAUCAUCGAGUCUUUGAACGCACAUUGCGCCCCCUGGUAUUCCGGGGGGCAUGCCUGUCCGAGCGUCAUUGCUGCCCUCAAGCACGGCUUGUGUGUUGGGCCUCCGUCCUCCUCCCGGGGGACGGGCCCGAAAGGCAGCGGCGGCACCGCGUCCGGUCCUCGAGCGUAUGGGGCUUCGUCACCCGCUCUUGUAGGCCCGGCCGGCGCUUGCCGACACAUCAAUCUUUUUUCCAGGUUGACCUCGGAUCAGGUAGGGAUACCCGCUGAACUUAAGCAUAUCAAUAAGCGGAGGA
rnacentral:misc_RNA from 1 species